rnacentral:rRNA from 1 species
CGUCUGUUGGAUAGCCCGGAGAGCCUAUGUGCGCGGCUACUGAUGGCUAAAUAUUACCCACGUGAAAAUUUGCUGGACACUGUCUUUUUCACGAACUCGUCUGCGGUCUGGAAAGGAAUUGUUUAUGGUUUGGAGCUUCUGAAAAAAGGUAUUAUUUGGUGCGUUGGCGAUGGUACUUUGCUCAAAACAUGAAGGGAUGCUUGGAUACCGAGGAGACAUGACUUCCAACCUGUCACACCUAAGAGAAAUUGCCGCUUCAAUUGGGUUGCUGACUUUCUGGAUGAUCAUGGUGCUUGGAAUGUCCAAAGAUUACGAGAGCACUUCUGGGAUUUGGAUGUACAUGAGAUUUCGAAGAUCCGCACCUCACCAAGGAACGGCCAGGACUUUCUUGCGUGGUACCCGGAGAGGAGCGGACAGUUUUCGGUUAAAAGUGCUUACCGUUUGGCAACUGAGGAUCGUCUGGCGUUAAGCCUGGGCUCAUCUAGUACUCAACCGUCGGGCCAUAGACUUGUUUGGCAGCGGAUUUGGAGUGCCCAGGUGCCGCUAAAAAUGAGGAUUAUGGCG